GGCGUGCUUAACACAUGCAAGUCGAACGGAAAGGCCCUUUCGGGGGUACUCGAGUGGCGAACGGGUGAGUAACACGUGGGUGAUCUGCCCUGCACUUUGGGAUAAGCCUGGGAAACUGGGUCUAAUACCGAAUACACCCUGCUGGUCGCAUGGCCUGGUAGGGGAAAGCUUUUGCGGUGUGGGAUGGGCCCGCGGCCUAUCAGCUUGUUGGUGGGGUGAUGGCCUACCAAGGCGACGACGGGUAGCCGGCCUGAGAGGGUGACCGGCCACACUGGGACUGAGAUACGGCCCAGACUCCUACGGGAGGCAGCAGUGGGGAAUAUUGCACAAUGGGCGCAAGCCUGAUGCAGCGACGCCGCGUGAGGGAUGACGGCCUUCGGGUUGUAAACCUCUUUCAGCACAGACGAAGCGCAAGUGACGGUAUGUGCAGAAGAAGGACCGGCCAACUACGUGCCAGCAGCCGCGGUAAUACGUAGGGUCCGAGCGUUGUCCGGAAUUACUGGGCGUAAAGAGCUCGUAGGUGGUUUGUCGCGUUGUUCGUGAAAACUCACAGCUUAACUGUGGGCGUGCGGGCGAUACGGGCAGACUAGAGUACUGCAGGGGAGACUGGAAUUCCUGGUGUAGCGGUGGAAUGCGCAGAUAUCAGGAGGAACACCGGUGGCGAAGGCGGGUCUCUGGGCAGUAACUGACGCUGAGGAGCGAAAGCGUGGGGAGCGAACAGGAUUAGAUACCCUGGUAGUCCACGCCGUAAACGGUGGGUACUAGGUGUGGGUUUCCUUCCUUGGGAUCCGUGCCGUAGCUAACGCAUUAAGUACCCCGCCUGGGGAGUACGGCCGCAAGGCUAAAACUCAAAGGAAUUGACGGGGGCCCGCACAAGCGGCGGAGCAUGUGGAUUAAUUCGAUGCAACGCGAAGAACCUUACCUGGGUUUGACAUGCACAGGACGCCCGCCAGAGAUGUC
rnacentral:rRNA from 1 species